CUGAAGGGAGGUGGAGAGGAAGUCCAGUGGGCAACAGUCCUUGGACUACAAGGCUUGUAUUUGAGAUUAUCAUGAAACCUGUCAGAAGACAUCUCUUUAUGGGCAGGCACAGUCUGAAGUGAUUGUCUGAGAAGGACAGCAGAAACCUGCUACUGCAGUUGAGAAAGGUCUGGAUCUACUUCUCUGAGGAAAGAAAGAACCCAGAAAGCACCAAUAAUAGCAUCUUCAAAGGCAUUUCCACUGCCACAAAUCAGAAUGAUCUAGGUAUGUGUCUACGAGAAAAGAGGCAAUUUCCAGACUUCAACCUUUAGCAACUUUCACACAACUUGUGACCAUGUGUCAUAGGAUGAUGUUCACAGGAUCUUCCAUGCAGUGGCUGAAGAACAGAGUGCCUUACAGACUCCGUGAGUCACAGGACUGUAUUUUUGAAGGAGAAGAUACUAAGGGUGAAUAUCUGGAACUCUGUCACCUGGACACUUUCUUUCCUUCCCAGGGAUCUUUCUUGCCAGUGAAAUAUUAGAAGCUAGCAAAGUCAUUCCAGUGACCCCACGAGUGGGUGGAAGAGCUCCUGUGGGUGUCACUUGCUUAAUUCUUGCCUGUGGAUAUUCUGGGAAGCUGCUGCAUUUCCUUGGGAUUUCCACACCUGGAAGAGCUCUUUGCUGAUAAAAGCCCUUGGCACCAUAAGAACAGGAGAGAUUUAGUAGCAGGUUGAGACAAAAGGAUGCACAGCAGGCCUGUAACACCCUUCCUCUCCUGAGUAGUCUCUGUCAAGGGAAUGGGUAAAUGCCUUCAGAAGAGGACCACACUGAAGUUCUGGUGCUGUGUGGUAUAUCUCUGUCACUUCGGGGUGAACUGGAUGAACCUACUGCUUACAUUCUGCAUAAUGAGCCCAUGGAUACACAGGAUGCCCUGCAAUGUGCUCAACAAGGCCCAAAUUUUCAGAAUGUGUGGGACUUCUAUUGUGUGUGAAGAUCAACUAUCAAGAACUCGUUCAGACAUCUCUGAUAUGGGUCAGAAAACUGGGCUGUACCUGUCAGGUCAUUGUCCUGCACAAGGAUAGAUACUAUCCAGGUACCUGUGCUGUAUGGUAGAGUACAUUCAUGUAGUGAGGUUAUCUGCAAUGUCUGUCAGCUUUGCUACUCAGGUCUCACUGCAUCUGCCAGAGGUCCAGAAAUCCAAACAAAUGUAGGAAGUCCUGAAAAUGUCCUGAAAUAUCCUAAAAAUAGGCAGAAUUUCCAGACGGAAGAAGAGCAGGGGUUCAGGAAAACAUGUGAGCAAAGCUGUCUUUAAUGUAAGCUAUCUUUAAUGUACAGAAAUGGCUAUUCUGUGCCAUGAAUUUUUGAACUUAUAAAUCCUGCUUUCUGAUGGGAUAUAUCCAGAGACUGACUUUGGUAUGUAGGAAGAUGAAAUGUCUGAUGGAAGCUCUUAUUUCAUUGUGAUCAUUUAUGUGGCCUCUUCUCUCUCAUAUGAUGUUUAACAGAGGAUGAUUUAAUACUGCAGCCCAUGGAUGGUGUGUCAAGGUAAAGACUCAUCAAGGGUCUCAGUCUUCUGCUUGCCCUCUAUUUUCAUGAACUGUAUAGGAGUGUUGUGUUUUUGAGAUGCCUGUUCAACUGCCAGAUGUCCAGAUGUGGCUGAACUUAGUCACUGGAUGCAGAAGUUAUGAAAGGAGGACAAGAGAUGGACACUCAACCUAUACACUGGGUCUUACUCCUUACAACAUGUAAAGUAUCUGUCCACACUGUUCUAAUGGAGAGUUGCUUCUCUCCCUCAUUCUUGCAGCAUCAUAUUCGGUGACAAGUCAUCUCUCACCUGCCUUGUUUUCAAAUGAUAAUCUGAGAGCUUUAAUUGGUGUUCUUUCUGCUUUCCCGCAUAGUGCUUCCUACAUGGAUCAGUGUCCCAGGAAAACCUGCAAAGUCACUUCAUGACUCCUUUUCAGAUUCUUCUUCCCUGGGCUUCUGUGACAGCAGUACACAAUGCUCACUUUGGUGAAUAAGCUGAGAACACCUUUGGAGCUAGACUGCAGAGCCUGGGGUCUAGUGGGAAUGCUUCAAAGUGGAGGAAAAUUUUCCUAUAGCAGAAAUAUCGCUUCAGUCAUUUUAUUGGUCAAAGCCAUGUUAGACAGCCCUCAGCAAUGGCAAAUUGCAAUGAGGUAGUCUGUGAGCUUGAUCUAUGCUGCUUUACCAUGCUCUGUGCUGUACUUGCCAGAACUGGUGACUAUAUGCAGAUGUAUGUGUAAGACAAGACAUCUGGGAUUGGUUUAUAAACAGUAUAUAAUGAGCAGUUCUUCUGUAAAACAAGCUCUUGUUUAUGUAGGACUGCAUCACCACUGCAUCUUAUUUUUAGGAUUUCUGUGAGAAGUGGGCAGUUGCCUUCAGCAAGCACAUAAGAAGCCUGGCUGUUUGGUGAAAAAUGGAAAACAGAUAGAGGAGCUUUUUGAUUGAAGGUGAAAUAAAAGCUAUGAGUGGCUAUUAUCCGUAUCUCCUAUUCCUCUGAGUUUGCAAUAAAGCAGUCUCGGGGGUGUUAAAAGCUGUUGAGCUGGCACGAAUGAUUCUUUAGAUAGCGUUCUGUUUAAGCCUUCACUCCUUUCAAGCUAUUUUCUUGCUUUAAAACUGCUUUAUAAUGUAUGUAGUUUAGGAGCUAUUUGCAACAAGCAGAGAACUCAGGCUGCAUGCAGAUAGCAUUCUUGAUACAACAAAGUCACCUUAGAAGAACAUAAGGAUUUUCUUUGUAGAUGCAAGGGUAUUCUUUAGAAGGAACUCUAUUAAAACAGAUAAUGUCCCUAAAAAGCAGAGAAUCAUUUUCUGCUGCCAUUGAACACAUUCAGGCCAUUUCAGACAUAUUCAGGUAUCUGGCAAUCUGAGGGCACGUGGAAAGUGGUGACCCGUGUGCUUUAGUUAAUCACUAAAAUGACUGGGAGCGAGCCUGAAUGUAAGUGGCCAAUAGCCUGGACUGAUUUUAUGGGAGCAGCCCAAACUCAUACCAGACAGAGAUCUGGCCAUGAAGACUUAGUCCAUAGCCAUUGAUUGCUCAAUUGUUUUUCCUAUUUGCUGCCAGGUCUUGAAGAAGCUGGUGGUGAGAUCUUGUUCUCAGUUCAUGGCUGCAACGUGGGUGCGAUGUAGACUUAAUGGCUCACAUCUUCCUCUUUUUCUGGUAUUUUUCCCUGAACUGUAGAGGAAAAGUAUAGCACACAAUGCAUCAGCUUCGUGUUCCAAUACCGUGAAUGUUUUAUGGAGACAAGCCAGCUUUGUUCCCAGUAGCAUUUUUGAAUAGGAUUUGGAUGCAGAGUGUUCCUAUAGGAACAACUAAUAUGUCACCUGGAAGAGCAGCUGGUUUGCAGGCAUUUGCAGCUACUGAGCAGUUCAGUGCCAGAAGGGAAGAGCACGGCACUCAUAAAGUGCCUUGCCUUCAUAGGCAAGACAUAGUAUAAGGCUUAGCAGCAGUUGGCUUUGCAUGGUCUUACCACCUUUCUGUUUGUCUACUCUAAAGGUAAAACCUGUCACCAGCAUGGAGAACAUAUUCAUCAGUGAACAUUUAUUGACAGGAAAACAAUUGAAGGAACUGAACACUUUCCAAAAACAAUAAGUGGGCUAUAAAGAAGGUAUAUUUGAUGGCUAAAAUUCCACUUGUUACUGUGCAACACCCCUUGUAAGGAUACAACACCCAGCAGAAGUAUGCAGGAGUUAGUGGGAACAAGACUGUGCAUGUAGGAGAAAAUAAAAUGAUCUUGUAACAAGCUAUAAUGCAAUCCUAACUCCUUUGAUGGUGAUGCAUAAACUUCCACUAAUUCUGAAUAAGUUUGGAUGGGGCCUAGAGCAAGUAUAAGAUAAGCAGUACGGGGAAUCCAGGUUCUAGCAAUAAAAUCAGCUAUUUUCUUGGAACUGGUGUUCUUUUUGGGUAAGGCUUCUUAUUGCUUUGUGGUUUAACACCAAUAGGCAUUAGGUGAAAAUGAUUUCAUCCUUGUUGGACUACUGUAGAAAUGAAAAACAUUAUUCAUACAGAUGAGGAUAGGACAGAUACUUAAGCACAAUUACAUGCUUCCACUGAGAUGAAAAAACAGAAGUGACCUGAAUUAAUACUGUGAGUGUUAGGAUGGUAUGAAGGAAAGCGAGAAAGCUGAAAGAAGACCUAGAGGUACAAAAGAGGAUAUACUUUACAGGGUAUGGUUUAAAAAAGAAAUGAAGAACCCAAUGAAACCUGGCAGAGGACUGGGAAGAUGGCUGGUGAGGGGGAGUCUCAGAAAAGAUUCAGAAGGGAAAGAGAAACUGAAACAUUGUUUGGAGAAUAUGGGACAUCUGUGACAGUUCCCUGCUGAUUAUACACUGUUAAAAAUGGCAAGUCACUGGCUGCUUUCUAUGUUUGAUAUUUAGAGGAGAUUCUGCAUUUUGUCUCUCAGCAUUCUUUUUCUGCCUCCCUUGGACUGGCAUAACUCUGUAAUAAAGUCACAAGACAUCCUUCUAAAGAAAACAAAGACUGAGGGCUUUCUGUUGUUUUUGCCCGGUUAUUUAUUUAUUUUUUCCAGAAAGAGCCUAGCGUUGACCUAAGGCUGUUCCCAGUGAAGUCAGUGGUGAAGUUCCUACCGACAUUUCAUUAGAGGAGGCUUGUAGUGUCAUGGAGGCUUUUUGAAAACUCUGCCCUCUGCAUGCAAGACAAAUCAAAAGCAAACAAUAAAAAACGGAUCCUGCAGAUGAAUUAGUUUCUCUCACCUUUUCUGGGCCAGAAAUGGUAGGACACGUGCAAUCAAAAGUCAUGGAGUCUGUCAGAGUUUUCCAGUGUUUUCUGAUCAAUGAACCCUGGCAAUUUUUUUAACGUAGAUGAAAUACAGCAUAAGCAUACUGUCAGCCGUGCUUCCCAGUCACUUUUGCCAGAUCCCGUGUAAGCGCUUUACACACUGUUACUGGCCUUUAGGCCAGAGGAUGACCAGUGCUAAUUCAGAGACUCUCUCAUGGCUUUUCCCCUUAGGCAGUGCAACAGGGCAUGCUGCCGACCCAUACUAAACCAGUACCCCCAGAUCCCUUUCUGUGGGGCUGCUCUCCAGCCUCUCGUCCCUCUGUCGGCAUAGAUAUCCAGAGUUGACCCAGCCUAAGUGCAGAAUCUAGCAUUUGCUCUUGUUAAACUUCAUGCAGUUGAUGAGUGCCUCCUAUUUGUCAUGGUCUCUCUGCAAGAUCUCUGCCCCUAGAGAGGGAGCCAACAGCUCCUCCUCAUUUAGUAUCAUCUGCAUUCAAGUAUACAUUCAAGUCCUGCUUUCAGGUCAUUUAUGAAGAUAUUGAAGAGAGCUAACCAUAAAAUGGAGCCCUGCAGAACCCCACUGGUGACUGCCUGCCAGCCUAAUGUAACCCCAUUUACUACAACCCUUUGAGAUUAACUCAUCAGCCAAUUGUUCACCCAUCAUAUUAUGUAUCUACCUAGCUGCAUGCUGGACAUUUUGUCCAAAAGGAUCUUUGCUUUAAGGUCUAAUUCAAGAGAUUAGUAAAAUGAAAGAUGUUUCUCCUAGAACAGCUGCAGUAUGGACUUCAGCUUAAAUGGUAAGACAUGUUGCUUUAAUCCCUUGUGCCCACCUCCCUUCACCCCACAUAUUUCUGACUUACUGUGAGGUUUUCUUGUGGCUUUGUCCAGGAGUUUUCAAGUCCGUUCAUCUCCCAGAUGACAAAUUUUCUUAUUCAAAUACUUGGGACUGCAGUAACCAUGAUGCCAGUAUCUUCUUCUUUUUUUUUUUUUACUUUGCAUGUGCUUACACUGUACUGUUGUUUUCUUUUCCUGCUCUCUUCUGAACCUCCUGUCUUCUACUUACACCCCAAGGUGCUCUGCCAGGUCAUGAGGUUCUUUCCCAAAUUAUGCUUCCAUUAAUGCUGGCAGCUACCUUCUCCUAGAAAGUCAAGAUGCCACCUAUUAACUGAGUGACAGUAACUUCUUCCCAUGUGAGGUCAGAGGGUGUUGCUCUGGCUGAGAUCAGGUCUCACUGGGAAGCCAGGAGACUGAGCAUUGUCUUAUGACCUAAGAACCAGAGACUUCACAUUUAGAGCAUCCUAGUGAACCCAGAACUUGCCCCCAUGCCAGCCAUGAUAACAACCUUGUGUGCUUCUCCCUAAUGUUGCGUACCCCUUUUUCAGGUUUGAGGAUCUCUAGUUUUUUUUGGCAGGAGCCAACCACUUGAGAUCACACCAAACUGAUACCUUAUUUAAAGACUCUAUAAUGGGAUUCCUCUGGAUGAACUGUGGGGACCAUUUCUGGUAGGGGAGUGUCUGUUUCGGAGGGUGGGGUGCAUCUGACUUCAUUUCCCCUUGAAGUUUUCAGGUUAGUGCUUGCACACAGUGAGACGCUUGAGAUGAGAUCUCAUCCACAGUUGUUCAUUUUACUAUUCUAUUAAAAAAAUAAAAUGGGGGAAUUUUCUAGAUUCCAUCCAAUCCAUAAUAACUUUUGAAAAGUUAAUUUGCUGCAGCUGCUUUAUAACUUCUCCUAAGGCCACAACUCAACAUGAUUACACAACCGCAGUAACUUUUAUGGCUGAGUGGAAACACUAUCUUGGUUUUUUUGUUCUACAAAAGCCAAUAUUUGGUUUAAAGAUUCCCUUGGAUUUUUAAUCCACUUUGCUAGGAAAUCUCACUCACCACCAGUAUUUUGAGAUACUUCACCUGCUUUCAUACUUGCUUCUUACCACAUAUUCACCAGGUCUAAUGAAUACUGGAAAAAAUGACAGCCCUCCGUCCUCCAGGGGAAGUUUCUGAACAUGAAAUACGUCAUAUUCAAAUCUUUUGUUAGGCUCUACCUCGCAGGUCUUUAUGGGGACUCAGCUUACGUACUUUAUUCCUUUUUCCUGAUAACCCCCUCCUGUGUGAGAACAGUGUCAAACAUAGCAUCCAGCUGGCCGGCCUCUGGGUAUGCUAAUAAAAGUUCUGCUUCUCCAAUCAUCCAGCUUUGCCCGGGGAGUCUGUCAGCAAAAAUAAAAAGGAUAUUUCUAUUUAAAUACCAUACAGUGUCUGCACAUUGGAAAUGUUUUUACCGUGGUAG